ensembl:misc_RNA Metazoa_SRP Metazoan signal recognition particle RNA
GCCUGGUUGGGUGGUGUGCACCUGCAGUCCCAGCCACUUAGGAGGCUAAGGGGUACUUAAGGCUAGGAGUUCUAGACUGUUAGGGGCUACGCUGAUCAGGUGUCUACACUAAGUUCAGCAUCAAUAUGGUGACCUCCUAGGAGUGGGGACCACCAGAUUGCCUAAGCGAUGGUGAACCAGCCCUGACAGGAAAUGGAACAGGUCAAAACUCCCAUACUGAUCAGUAGUGGGAUUGUGCCCAUGAAUAGCUACUGCACUUCAGCCUGGGAAACGCAGCAAGACUCCAUCU